GGCUUCGAAGCCGGCCGCCUGACCUGGGGCAAGUGCUUUCAACUCUCUGAACUUCGGUUCCUCAUCUGCCAGUUGGCAGACGCUCAGCAAAUCUUCCUAGACUCACGGGGCGAAUUGUACAGUUGGGUAAAUCGAGGCCCAGAGAUGGCAAAAGGACCGUCCAAGGUCGUACAGCCACCCGGAAUUACAAUUCUUUUCUGCCGGGUCACACGCUGUCAUCCACGUGUUACCUAAGAGAGCUUUCCAGCCUGUGCUAAGAAAACUGCCCCACAUCAUCUGCAGUAGGACGGGGGAGUUGGAGCCCUGGUCAGGCCACUCUGCUACUGACCACAGUUUUCUCAUCUCUAAAAAGGCGCAGUAACAAUAUAAUUACCGUAUGCAGUCCCCCAGGAUACAGGGUCAAAGGAGAGCACAACCAUCGCAGUUGGAAGCCCAUGGGGCAGCAGGGCCCAGGACACAGUGAGCAUACAAUAGACAUUAGCUGCUGUGGUGUCUUGAUUUCAAGCCCAGUGCAGAUGCAUCUGACUUACGAAACUUCAGUGACACCUGCUCUGUGCCAGACACUGAAGAUGGAGCAGUGAACAGCACUGACCCAGCCUGUCCUCCUGUUGCCUGCAGGCCAGACGGAGUCUCACUCUG
rnacentral:lncRNA from 1 species